rnacentral:rRNA from 1 species
GUGCCAGCCGCCGCGGUAAGACGUAGGGGGCGAGCGUUGCCCGGAAUCACUGGGCGUAAAGGGGGCGUAGGCGGUCUCAUAAGUCAGGUGUGAAAUGUCACUGCUCAACGGUGUCAGUGCGCUUGAAACUGUGGGACUUGAGGGUACCAGAGGUAGACGGAAUUACCUGAGUAGGGGUGAAAUCCGUAGAUACAGGUAAGAACGCCAGUGGGGAAGCCGGUCUACUGGUGUGACCCUGACGCUGAGGCCCGAAAGCUAGGGUAACAAACCGGAUUAGAUACCCCGGUAGUCC